AAGUAUCUCCGAGUUCACCGACUCUCUCGGUGAAUAGGAGUAACGGCUGGUUGGCACAGCCAUCGACGUACCUGUUUGACAAGGAAACUGGCGCAUUCGCGCCUCAAGAACGGGCCAUGUCGUAAACCACAAUAUCCCAACGCGGUCGGGAAUCCUCGCCCUUCAGGGCGGGGA
rnacentral:ncRNA from 1 species